AGCGAACGCUGGCGGCAGGCCUAAUACAUGCAAGUCGAACGCACCUUCGGGUGAGUGGCGGACGGGUGAGUAACGCGUGGGAACGUGCCCUUUGGUUCGGAACAACACAGGGAAACUUGUGCUAAUACCGGAUGUGCCCUUCGGGGAAAGAUUAUCGCCAUUGGAGCGGCCCGCGUUGGAUUAGCUAGUUGGUGGGGUAAAGGCCCACCAAGGCGACGAUCCAUAGCUGGUCUGAGAGGAUGAUCAGCCACACUGGGACUGAGACACGGCCCAGACUCCUACGGGAGGCAGCAGUAGGGAAUCUUGCGCAAUGGGCGAAAGCCUGACGCAGCCAUGCCGCGUGAAUGAUGAAGGUCUUAGGAUUGUAAAAUUCUUUCACCGGGGAAGAUAAUGACGGUACCCGGAGAAGAAGCCCCGGCUAACUUCGUG
rnacentral:rRNA from 1 species